ensembl:lncRNA uncharacterized LOC117152690
UGAAAGACUAGUUUGUUGAAAGACAAGUUUGUUAAGCCACAGUAGUGGGUGAUAAUUCUCGGUGGGUUAAUCAGUAUCAACGAUCACUUUCACAUUACACAUGAUCUGAUACAUUGCAGGUAUUGUUGUAUGUAUGUAUUGCUGAAGUUAUGUGUUGAUUACAGGUUUACUUUGCUUUCUUUGUGUUUUCUUUGUGUUUCUGCUACGUUCUAGAUUUCAGAGUUAUUAAAGGCUUUGGCUGAGAGGAAAUCCUCACCUUGUGACACCACACAAACUGACUCCCGAAACAUCAGUGCUACUCUUUCCAUCCUAAAGGCCAGGCAUGGGACCAUUAGAUCCAGAGCUUUCCUCCCUGAAAACAUCAUCUUGUUGUCCAAAUGUGAGUUCAAGAGGUGGGAUCCACUGAGUGAAAGCUUACCUGCCACAGUACCUGUUCCUUCCCACAGCAAUGCAGAGACCACAGUUCCGGAGCGACAACUGCAGCAAAACAUAUCACCCUCAAUUCCUGUCGUUCUUUCACACCUUAUGGAAAAAUCUAAGACUCCACCCUCUGAGUCAACCUUCUCUUUCGGAGAAUUACUUAAGAAGAAAGAGAUAUACCCACACAUCCUGGGUGUUCAUGCUUGGACUAAACAGCAUUCCUGUGAACCUCAGGGGAUGCCACACAAACUGUCCCUCCAAACUGGGCCAACCAGUGAAUGGUUCUUUGAGGACUUGAUGGACCUCCAGAGGAAGCUUUUCCUAGGUGGAGCAAAGAAAUAUGGGAUUCCCAAACACUCUCAUAUGUCUGGGAAAAAUGGCUGUCACAACUCACCUGAACCCACUUCUUAACCACUCUUAAAGACAAUUAAAGAAAAAUGAAAUGAAGAUAAUUUGCCUGUUUUUAUCUGUCAUUAUUGCAGUACUUACCAAGACAUUUGGGUUGCAUGUUCAAAAACAAAUAGAAACCCAGAAUGCAGAGGAUGGAAAAAAUAAUGUCAUGUAAUAAUGAAAAUUUCCACCAUUUUCCACUCCCUGUGCUUGCUUAGUGUACUUCAAGACAUUGUAAAUUCCUUUUCUUUUGCAUCAAUGCAUUUAGAAAAGACAAGCAUUUAAAAAUAUCAACAACUACAGUGGGUACGGAAAGUAUUCAGACCCCUUUAAAUUUUUCACUCUUUGUGUCAUUGCAGCCAUUUGCCAAAAUCAAAAAAGUUCAUUUUAUU